AUACUUACCUGGCAAGGGUAAUUCCAUAAUAACAAAAGUAGUUUCUCCAGGGAAAAGCUUAUCAGAUGCAUUCCAGAUGGGGUGCCCCCUGCAUUUUCCCCAAAUGUGGGAAAAUCAAUUACAUAAUUUCUGGUAAUGGGGGACAAAGCUCAUACUAUUCCCUG